rnacentral:rRNA from 1 species
CCUACGGGGGCAGCAGUGGGGAAUAUUGGACAAUGGGGGCAACCCUGAUCCAGCCAUGCCGCGUGUGUGAAGAAGGCCCUCGGGUUGUAAAGCACUUUCAGUGAGGAAGAACGCCUGGUGGUUAAUACCCAUCAGGAAAGACAUCACUCACAGAAGAAGCACCGGCUAACUCCGUGCCAGCAGCCGCGGUAAUACGGAGGGUGCGAGCGUUAAUCGGAAUUACUGGGCGUAAAGCGCGCGUAGGUGGCUUGAUAAGCCGGUUGUGAAAGCCCCGGGCUCAACCUGGGAACGGCAUCCGGAACUGUCAAGCUAGAGUGCAGGAGAGGAAGGUAGAAUUCCCGGUGUAGCGGUGAAAUGCGUAGAGAUCGGGAGGAAUACCAGUGGCGAAGGCGGCCUUCUGGACUGACACUGACACUGAGGUGCGAAAGCGUGGGUAGCAAACAGGAUUAGAUACCCUAGUAGUC